AUCCAACUGACGAGUCCCAAAUAGGGAUGAAACUGCGCGUCCCUGGAU
rnacentral:hammerhead_ribozyme from 1 species